CAGAUCAACAUCUGCAGCCACAGCACUGUGUCCAGAGCCUGCCACGGGCACCUUGAGGUCACAGCCACCAUGGGCUGGAUGGUCACCAGGGCUGUGGCCCUUCCGCAGCAUGAAUCCCUCCUUGGGCUUUAAUGCAGCUUCACAGCCUUUCCUGCCUGCGCUCCAAGUGCCAAGAGGUGCCACGGGAGCUGAUGGCAGGUGCAGCAAUACGACACCAGUGAAGAAAAACAUGGAUUGCUUUCCCAGCAAGGUACUGCUACGUGCCUACUUACGCUGAUGGACUGGUCACCAGCAGUGCAAGUGCACGUGGCUGAAGAGUAUGAUCAGACCAGGCAGAGCUUUGGCUGCUCCCUGUCUGCAGAACAGGAGUGGAAGUUGCUGCUUGAUGGGACAGAUGACAUCUCCCCAGUUUGUGCCCGUUGCCUCUGGUCCUGUCCUUGGACACCGCUGAGAAGAGCCUGGCUCCAUCAUCUCACACUCCCACCAGG